rnacentral:rRNA from 1 species
UACGUAGGGCGCAAGCGUUAUCCGGAAUUAUUGGGCGUAAAGAGCUCGUAGGCGGUUUGUCGCGUCUGUCGUGAAAGCCCAUGGCUUAACUGUGGGUCUGCGGUGGAUACGGGCAGGCUGGAGGCAGGUAGGGGAGAACGGAAUUCCCGGUGUAGCGGUGAAAUGCGCAGAUAUCGGGAGGAACACCGGUGGCGAAGGCGGUUCUCUGGGCCUGUACUGACGCUGAGGAGCGAAAGCGUGGGGAGCGAACAGG